GAAGCUGGCGGCGUGCUUACACAUGCAAGUCGUGCGGAGUCACGGCAGAGGGGCAACCCGAUGCAGUGGCUCAGCGGCAAACGGGUGAGUAAUGGACAGGUAACGUACCCCCAAGACGUGGAUAGCUCAUCGAAAGAUGAGAUAAUACGCGAUAAUGUUCCCUUGCGCAGGCAGGGGAAAGAAAGCGGGCGCAAGCUCGCGCUUCCGGAUCGGCCUGUCUCCUAUCAGCUAGUUGGUGGGGUAAGAGCCUACCAAGGCGAUGACGGGUAGCUGGUCUUAGAGGAUGGUCAGCCACAUUGGAACUGCGACACGGUCCAGACUCCUACGGGAGGCAGCAGUGGGGAAUCAUGGUCAAUGGGCGAAAGCCUGAACCUGCGACGCCGCGUGAGUGAUGAAGGUCGUAAGAUCGUAAAACUCUUUUCAGGGAUCUUAAAGCCUGUCUGUCAACAACAGGCAGGUCUGACUCUCCCUGGAAGAAGCCCCAGCCAACUACGUGCCAGCAGCUGCGGUAAUACGUAGGGGGCGAGCGUUAUUCGGAAUUACUGGGUGUAAAGGGUAUGUAGGCGGCCCUUCAAGUCGCGUGUCAAAGUCCAGUGCUCAACGCUGGGUGUGCGCGCGAUACUGACGGGCUUGAGGGCUGGAGAGGUGAGCGGAAUUCCCGGUGUAGUGGUAAAAUACGUAGAGAUCGGGAGGAACACCAGCGGCGCAGGCGGCUCACUAGACAGUUUCUGACGCUAAGAUACGAAAGCGCGGGGAGCAAACAGGAUUAGAUACCCUGGUAGUCCACGCCCUAAACGAUGGAUACUUGGUGUCGGGGGGUUGCCCUCGGUGCCGGAGCUAACGCGUUAAGUAUCCCACCUGGGGACUACGGCCGCAAGGCUAAAACUCAAAUGAAU
rnacentral:rRNA from 1 species